rnacentral:lncRNA from 1 species
AUUUUUUGGAACGUAGGAAACAUACCACUUGUCCUCUUGGGACACCUGACUGCUGACCUAAGUCCCCACUCAUACAUUCUAUUACUUUUGAUUGGGUAAUUGUGCUCGGGACGUUUCCAAAGCAGGUAAAGGUGGUGGGACAGGGUCUUUAGCCAAAAAAUGGAUUAUUUAACACCGUGCCUGGAUAGAUAUUUGAUGACCUUGACCUACACAACAAUGCUUGACUCAAAGGAUGAUUCUGCAGGCAAAGAUAUAAGCUUCGCCUGGGGCAAGGGAGUGGACGUGCGCGUGACAAACCGCCUGCGGGUCCCGCUGACACCGGACAACUUGCAGUCGCUUUCCUUCAGCAUUCCGGGCCUUCACACGCGACUCAACACACCACUGGAACAUGUAGGCCUGUUUCACUAUGGCCAUUUACUGGUGUACAACCUGCCAUCGGUGCCUGCCGACAAACCAGACGAAGACAGUGGGGUUUCCCUCGCUCCUCCAUUGAGCUGCUUUUAUUUGGGAGAGGACGGUGGAGAGGUACAGGGCUCAGCACGAGAUGAUGCGCCCGCGGGGAUUGUCUCAAACUCUGUCUCGCCGGAGGGUAACUGCUUGUAUUCAGCAGGACAACCUGAAGAUUCUCCAGUAAUAGACUCUCCAGAUUUGAGAGGCAGUGACGAGCAGUCUCUGUGCAGCGGUUCAGAGAACUUCUACACAUGUCCAUCUGCAGCCUCUCAGGACUCCGUUCCGUCCCCUUGGAGUGCUCAUUGGGCGUCAGCCGCCAUGUCCCCGCAUUAUGGGUCAGGGUCAUCACCAAACCUGCCUAGCUCCACACCGACCAGCGAAGAUCAUAGUGACAGUAAUGAGCUGUUGUCGGUGGAGUUCAAAGGGCGACGCUACGUGCGUGUCCUGUCCCGGGUCAAGCCUAGGACAGAUGAAGACGUGGAGGCCAGUUGGACGGUGACAGACUUCACGAAGCGCGGGGAGCCCGUGUUCUCUCUGCGGCUUGACUUCAUGCGGCCCCGACCACCCUUACCCCGGUGGAUGGAGGGCAUAGCAGAGAGGUACUGGUGAUGAUGAUGGGCUUGACAAGAGCUGGACAGUACAUGCCAAUUUUUACUGAUCUGCCUCCAAUGUUGAGAAACAUCUGACCAAUUCCCACUGUCAAAUAAACAAACUCCA